CAAUAGCGUAUAUUAAAGCUGUUGCAGUUAAAAAGCUCGUAGUUGGAUGUCUGUCCGGAUCUGCCAGUCUGCCCUCUGGGUAUGCACUUGGUUCGUUCCGGGCAUUUACUAGGAAGCAUCUCUGCACUUGAUUGUGUGGUGUGUGACUUAGUUACUUUACUUUGAGAAAAUUAGAGUGUUUCAAGCAGGCCAAUGUCUUGAAUACUGCAGCAUGGAAUAAUGUUUUAAGGCUUUGAUCUUAGUUCAUUGGUUUUAGAGACCAAAGCAAGGAUUAAUAGGGACAGUUGGGGGCGUUCGUAUUUAAUUGUCAGAGGUGAAAUUCUUGGAUUUAUUAAAGACGAACAACUGCGAAAGCAUUCGCCAAAGAUGUUUUCAUUAAUCAAGAACGAAAGUUAGGGGAUCGAAGACGAUCAGAUACCAU
rnacentral:rRNA from 1 species